GGAGAAAAAAGGCAUUUUCAAAAAAAUGUUUGGAUUCUUUUUCAUUAAAUCAAAGAAGAAAGAUUCAAAAGAAGGCGAUAAAAUUGAACAACAUGCAAAGAAACAGACAAAGCCUUAUUCUGCAGACAAUGAAUUUUUUGAUGCAUAUGAUUAUGACUGAAGGGACUAUUUUGAAGAUCAAGCCAGCUGUUUUUAUAAAGGAUUUUAAAGUUGCAACUUAUGGGACAUCAUGUUUACCAUCAGUGACAUCUUCAACUCAGUCAUUUAAUAUAUUUAAAUAAUAAUUUAUUUCCAGC